CUCCUCCCCAACGAGCCAUUAAGGAGCCCAAGAGUGGCCUGCAGUCCGCAGUCCCGGAAGGGAGACAGUAUUUAGUGGUUGUGCACUGUGCAGAGAUGUUUCCCAUAGGGUCCCACAGUGAUCCCGGAACCGCUGCGAAACCACAGGAAAACCUCCACCCACCAAGCCAAGUAUUACACCAAAGCACCCCCAGACCGGACAGCACAGGAACGUGGGGGUGGAUCAUCACCCACGACAGAGGAGCCGAUGAAACUCCCAGAGUACUUGGGAAUCCACCUGCCAAUGUAGAGGACAUGGGUCUGAUCCCUCGCCCAGGAAGAUCCCACAUGCUGCAGAGCAACUUAGCCCAAGUGCUGUAAGUACUGAGCCUGUGCUCUCGAGCUUACAAGCUACACCUACUGAAGCCGACACACCCCAGAGCCCGUGCUCCCCAACAAGAGGAGCCGCCGCAGUGAGAAGCCUGUGCACCUCAACUAGAGUGACCCCCGCUCGCCGCAACAAGAGAAAGGCCAAGGGCAGCAACAAAGGCCCAGGGCAGCCACAAAUACAUAAAUCAAUAAAUUUUUAAGAGGAUGUGAACAUUAGGGGGAAGUUGGACUAUCUUUGCAACUUUUCUGUAUAAACCUAAAAUUAUUCCAAAAUAGAAGAGUUAUUAAGAGAGACCUGGAAAAGGAAAUGGCUACCCACUCCACGACUCUUGCCUAGGAAAUCACAUGGACAGAGGAGCCUGGCGGGCUACGGAAUAUGGAGUCACAGAGAGCCAGACACAACUAGGCAGCUAACACUUUUGCCUUCACUUUUUCCUUCAAUUCUAACUCAUCAACAUCAAGACGCUGUUAUCUGUCCAGGUCAGGUGACAGCUUCCUGACUGAGGACAUAGCUGUUGAUGGCUGAUGUGUGUUGUACAAGAUCACUUGUGCAAAUAUGUAUUUUGUCUGAAAUUUUGUUUAAAAAAUUUAUUUACAAUG
ensembl:lncRNA